rnacentral:rRNA from 1 species
GGAUACUUAGUACGGCGAGUGAAGCGGUAAAAGCUCAAAUUUGAAAUCUGGUACUUUCAGUGCCCGAGUUGUAAUUUGUAGAAUUUGUCUUUGAUUAGGUCCUUGUCUAUGUUCCUUGGAACAGGACGUCAUAGAGGGUGAGAAUCCCGUUUGGCGAGGAUACCUUUUCUCUGUAAGACUUUUUCGAAGAGUCGAGUUGUUUGGGAAUGCAGCUCAAAGUGGGUGGUAAAUUCCAUCUAAAGCUAAAUAUUGGCGAGAGACCGAUAGCGAACAAGUACAGUGAUGGAAAGAUGAAAAGAACUUUGAAAAGAGAGUGAAAAAGUACGUGAAAUUGUUGAAAGGGAAGGGCAUUUGAUCAGACAUGGUGUUUUUUGCAUGCACUCGCCUCUCGUGGGCUUGGGCCUCUCAAAAAUUUCACUGGGCCAACAUCAAUUCUGGCAGCAGGAUAAAUCAUUAAGAAUGUAGCUACUUCGGUAGUGUUAUAGCUUUUUGGAAUACUGUUAGCCGGGAUUGAGGACUGCGCUUCGGCAAGGAUGUUGGCAUAAUGGUUAAAUGCCGCCCGUCUU